rnacentral:lncRNA from 1 species
UGGCCUGAUCAACCCAAACAAAGGAAAAAAAAGGUUGAAAACCUUACCUCCGGCAGACGGCGGGCGAUGUGGUCGGCGGAUAGUGGACGGCAGACGACAGUGGUGGAGAGGGGCUCACCGAUGGGAAGAGAUGGAGGGGAGAGCACAGAGAGAGGAGAGCUCAGGGAGAGGGAGAGAGAUCGGGGAAAGAAGAGAGGGGGGGAG